rnacentral:rRNA from 1 species
AUGGAUCGCAUAACGCCUGAUUUGGUGGCAAAAUAUCCUGAAUUAGGCAGCGUGGCGGCUAAAGUGAGGGAACAGCCCAAGGAUAUGGUUCUGGGGACGCAACAACAGCCUAAGGAUAUGGCAAACAAGUCUGGCAUAUUGGAUGGUGGUGGUGAUGAUAGAGGCAAAUCUCCUGUCUUAGAGGAGCAGGUGCCAAUAGCCGACUGGAAAUUCAAACCAGAGAUGGAGGUGGAUUCAGUGACACAUACCAAUGAAUCACCGAGGGAUUUUUCCAUAGUACUAAAUACGGAUGAGUCGCCUAUGGAUUCUAUCAUGUUAAAUACAGAUGAGUCGCCGACACUAGAACCAGUUCUUUCUUGUGUCCCUGAUAUCCAGUCUGAGGAUAAGUCGUCCACACUCCAGCCAGUUCUUUGUUGCGGCCCUGAUAUCCAGUCUAAGGUUCAUGUCCGUCCUCGUCCUCCUCAUUGCAGGAAGCAGGAGGAUACAGUUCUCCCUCCUAAGCAUCUCUUACAACAGCAGAAGCAACCAUCUGUGCAUAACCACCAUGAGAUUUGUCCGCAAGGUACCAAUGACGAUGUGGCGACAACCUUGGGGGCCCAGUUCCAGAAUUUGGACUUGUCCGUAUCCAAAUUGGUGGAAUUGGACAGAGGCGAAUCCCUCUCGGAGGAACAGGUCAAAUUUCUGGAGACCCAGCAGCUGCCCAGGGAUAUGGCAAACAAGUUAGACAUAUUGGAUGGUGGUGGUGAUGAGACAGAGGUUAAGAUGGGCAGAGGCAAAUCUCUCAAAGAGAAACAAGUCAUGGUUCUGGAGACCCAGCAGCAGCCGACGGAUGUGGCAAACAAGUUAGACAAAUUGGAUGGUGGUGCUAAUGAGCCAGAGGUUGAGAUGGACAGACGCAAAUCCCUCUUGGGGGAACAGGUCAAGGAUAUGGCAAACAAGUCGCACAUAUCACUCUCGGAGGAAAGGGAAACCUGGAAGCAGCAGCAGUCUAUACUCUUUUCAAAGCUCGAAUCCUGUGUGCAGGUGCUCAAAGAGAUGAUGGAGGUAGGCAGAGGCGCGGUCAACUUCUACCCUGAGAUGCAGAUUGAAGAGUUGUCAGCAGUGUAUCACAGGACAAGUGAAGCAAUUCGUAACUUGCACUUUCUUUUAAAGAGUAUACCUAAUUGGGUGUGGGAUGAGGUGGAGGGGAAGCAAAUGGCCAAGGCAGGAAUGGAAGUCAGAGCGAAACCCUUCAUGGAGAAGCAGGUGAUUGGUCCAUUGCCUCGUGAGACGGAUAUGGAAGGGGGAUCCAGGAAGCAGCAGCAGUCUCAACUUCUUCCCUGUGGCCUUCAGAUUCAGAGUAAUGAUCAGUCUCUUGGCAGUAAGAAGGGGAAACACGGGGGUCGUAAGAAGGGGAAACAUGAGGGGCAUAAGAAGGGGAAAUACAGGGUUUGUGCUGCUGCUCCAUCCAUGGAUUUCGAGAUGGAAGAGGAAUCCGGGUAG